AAGACUAUGCUUUCAGGGAUCAUUUCUAUAGUCCCUUACUAGAGAAGUUUCUCGAUGUAAAGUGCUGGAAACCACAAGGAAAAAGUGAGGCUGGCCCUAGGUAUUGUUUUGUGCAAUUGCCCAUUGCCAUUGAUGAUUGUUCUCUCCUUGGGAGAGUUAGAGGGAGAGAAAGCAGUCUGAGUGAA
rnacentral:snoRNA from 1 species